rnacentral:rRNA from 1 species
UACGUAGGGGGCUAGCGUUGUCCGGAAUCAUUGGGCGUAAAGCGCGUGUAGGCGGCCCGGUAAGUCCGCUGUGAAAGUCGAGGGCUCAACCCUCGAAAGCCGGUGGAUACUGUCGGGCUCGAGUGCGGGAGAGGCGAGUGGAAUUCCUGGUGUAGCGGUGAAAUGCGCAGAUAUCAGGAGGAACACCGAUUGCGAAGGCAGCUCGCUGGAACGUAACUGACGCUGAGACGCGAAAGCGUGGGUAGCGAAUGGG